rnacentral:lncRNA from 1 species
GUGAUGAGAGCAUUCAGUGAGAGCCUGGUGUUCUGCUCAGUACCAAGUGCAGCACUUUCACAUGCUUGAUGCUCAAUGAAUGUUGAAGGAGAGAGUGAAUGGAUACAGAGCUGAAUGAGUAGGUCAUUUCAGAAUCUGCAUCUGAGAAAACUGCCCUAAGAUAAGGAAUAUGCCUAUCUUCCAAUUUGAGUUCUGUAAACAACAGCCAAGAGAGCAGGGGUGAUGAUACAGCUGAGCCACAAUCAAGUUUCUUAAUUAUUUUCCGGGCACAGAAGAUUCCAGUCCACAUCCUUUCUUCCUUUCAUUCCCAAGAUAUAGCAAUAGAAGUCUGAAGACGGUAAACUCUAAUAACUGUUCCCUGAAUAGAAAAUAACAAGCCUUCCCCUCCAUGCCUAACAGUCCCCAAUACAAUUGGUGUUCAUAAUAUGCAGUUUGAAGACAAUGACCAAUGACCAAAGGCAUAAUCUGAAUCACAGCCCUAUAUCAGUGCUCUGGACCCACACAUCCUCUUGCUCACCCAGUGAUGUUUACCAGGAGGCAUCUUGCCAGAAAGGAAAUCAGCUGUGGGGGCUAUACAGUUCCAGGAGCCAGCCCAUCAAGAAGGCAUUUGUGAGUUUCAGGGCGUGGGGAUACAGUGGAACAAAAGUGGUGUCUGUUUGCUUGCGUCAUGGAAGCAGCAUUGGAAGAAAUCACUCCUGACCAACCGAUGCCAGUUGGUGGAGCCCAGAUUUUUAAAACUAGCUGAUUGCCUAUCAAGAAGGAUGUCCAAGGGAUGAACCCACCAGCAUGACUCUCUCCCUCCCUCUGUUUGAUUUUUUCAGGAGUGCUACUCUGUGAUAGGCUGCACUCAUGUGAUGAUUACUGUAUUGUGCAUUUGCUGAUUCUUACGAUGUACAGACUUUCCAAAGCUCAGCUGCUUUAUAAUGUCCAAAUUAAUACCAACAGCAUUUCUGGGAAGAGGAAGGGAACUACUGUGACAUAUGGACCAAAUCUGAUGACUCAUGUAAAACUCAUCAGUUACAUUUUACCUCCUUUGUCCCCUUCUAGUCCUUUAAGAAAUAAGAAUCAAUCAUUGUCACAUUGUCUAGUUAUUUAUGCUGUACUUACCCAAAAAGGUAAGUUUACAUCUCAUGAAUUUUGACUUAUUGAGAAGAAAUCCAAUCUCAGUCAUGGAUUGAGACUGUUCUUGUUGUUAAUUAAUGAAAACUGAAUUAUAGACUGUUUUGUACAAAAAGUAUUAUUGAAAGAAAUUUCACAUUCUUCACAAUUCCUCCAGGAUGACAGAUAGGACUUGGUAAUCAUAGCUGAAGAGGGCUCAUCAAUUCAUAGUUAAAUUAAUGAAUGAACAAAAUAUAAUGUCAUUCAUCCAUCCAUUUAUUCAUCAUCCUACUUAGUAACUCACUUUUUAACAAUGCUUCCUAAAAUGCUAUGCACACUGUGAAUUGGUUUUACAAGAUUCUUUUAAUCAAAGAUGAAAUUUUGAAAUUUAGUUCAGCCACAGUCUUACAGAAAAUAUCAAAUUAAUAAAGUCUAAAGUUAUGAGGUUUGACAGUUUUAUAGUAGUUGACAUCCAUGGAAUAGACAAUCUGGACUUUACAUGAUCUAUGGGACAUCUAGAGGAUGUCCAACAGAAGAGAGGCUGCCUUUUCUGUGUACCUCUUUUAAUAAGUAAGGACAGCUUCUUAGAACCCCCCAAAGACCUGAACAAAAAGUAAAGGAAGAGAGAAAUGACUGGUGGCCAAUAAACCAACAGUG